rnacentral:rRNA from 1 species
UACGUAGGGUGCAAGCGUUGUCCGGAAUCAUUGGGCGUAAAGCGCGCGUAGGUGGCCUCAUAAGUCCGCUGUGAAAGUCAAAGGCUCAACCUUUGAAAGCCGGUGGAUACUGUGAGGCUAGAGUACGGAAGAGGCGAGUGGAAUUCCUGGUGUAGCGGUGGAAUGCGCAGAUAUCAGGAGGAACACCGGUGGCGAAGGCGGCAUCCUGGACCGGUAUUGACGCUGAGGCGCGAAAGCGUGGGGAGCGAACAGG